AUUGAACGCUGGCGGCAUGCCUUACACAUGCAAGUCGAACGGCAGCACGGGGCAACCUGGUGGCGAGUGGCGAACGGGUGAGUAAUGCAUCGGAACGUGCCAUUGAGUGGGGGAUAACGUAGCGAAAGUUGCGCUAAUACCGCAUAUUCUGUGAGCAGGAAAGCAGGGGGACCGCAAGGCCUUGCGCUCUUUGAGCGGCCGAUGUCAGAUUAGCUAGUUGGUGAGGUAACGGCUUACCAAGGCGACGAUCUGUAGCGGGUCUGAGAGGAUGAUCCGCCACACUGGAACUGAGACACGGUCCAGACUCCUACGGAGGCAGCAGUGGGAAUUUGGACAAUGGGCGCAAGCCUGAUCCAGCCAUGCCGCGUGAGUGAAGAAGGCCUUCGGGUU
rnacentral:rRNA from 1 species